rnacentral:rRNA from 1 species
AUACGGAGGGUGCAAGCGUUGUUCGGAAUCACUGGGCGUAAAGGGCGCGCAGGCGGUUUGGUAAGUCAGAUGUGAAAGCCCAUGGCUCAACCAUGGAAGUGCAUUUGAAACUGUCAGACUUGAGUACUAGAUGGGAAAGUGGAAUUCCCGGUGUAGAGGUGAAAUUCGUAGAUAUCGGGAGGAAUACCGGUGGCGAAGGCGACUUUCUGGCUAGAUACUGACGCUGAGGCGCGAAAGCGUGGGGAGCAAACAGGAUUAGAAACCCGGGUAGUCC